AACUCUCAACUCCACAAGUUUUGUAAUGAGAUUUGUGUGAGCUUGGAUCUUGAGUGUUGCAGGUGUUACAACCAGCUCAUUCGAAAUACAUUAGCGAUCACGCAUUUGGCGUUGGUUUGACUUGAAGUGAUAGUAAUACAUUUCCUUCAAGGACACUUCCCUUUAAACGGACAGUGACCACACCCUUUGCCAGAACGCUCAUAAAACCCCAAUUUAUAUCAUG
rnacentral:misc_RNA from 1 species